rnacentral:rRNA from 1 species
UACAGAGACUGCAAGCGUUAUUCGGAUUCACUGGGCGUAAAGGGUGCGCAGGCGGCCAAGUGUGUUAGGCGUGAAAGCCCGGGGCUUAACCCCGGAAUUGCACCUAAAACUACAUGGCUAGAGCAUUGGAGAGGGUAGCAGAAUUCACGGUGUAGCAGUGAAAUGCGUAGAUAUCGUGAGGAAUACCAGAGGCGAAGGCGGCUACCUGGACAAUUGCUGACGCUCAGGCACAAAAGCGUGGGGAGCAAAAGGG